GAAGACACUGUGGUGGGGCUUUCUCUUAAACUAUUUUUAUAUAUUUCAUCAACUAUAGCCACGAACACAGCAGGGGGUGUGAGUAUUUGUGUUUUCGAGAGGGGGAGGGGAAGCUAGGGAGGAGGAGGGAAAAAGGGAAGAAGGAUUUAGCAUGCGAGUCUUAGAAAAAAAUUGGUAUGAAGGCCUCGUGGAGAGGGUUUUUAUAUUCCCGGAAUCUCAUGAUGGUACCGAAUCUGCUUUAAUCAUCAGGACAGCAGUUUUAUAUCUAUUUUGGUUACGGUUAAUAAAACAGUCACUGUAUGUAUAAAAUACUCCAUACGAGGGGACUGGGUGCCUCUGAGGGUCUUCUCAUCACCCAUCUGUGACCCACUCACCCAUCUACCUAUGUAUCUACCUAUCUACCCACCCACAAUCCAACUGCCCACCUACCUAUAUAUCUAUCCUACGUAUGGCCAUCCAUCUUUCCAUUUAUCUCACCCCACCUAUGUAUCCAUCCACCUACAAUCCACUCAUUUACCCACCUACCUUAAUGUUUAUCCAUCUGUUUAUUCACCCUUCCAUCCCUCCAUCUACCACUCACCCAUCUACCGUGUAUCCACUCAACCAUACAUCUAGCCCCUGACCUAUCCACUCACAUAAUUCAUCCCUCCCUCCACCAUCUGUAUAUCCACCAUCCACCUCUCCCUCCAUUCAUCCACCAUCCAUUUAUCUACAACCCAUCCACCCACUCCUCCAUCCACAAUUCACCUACCCAUCCAUCCAUCAAUCCCUCCAACAUCCAUCAUCUAUCCAACCAUCCAUUCUCUAUCCAUCCAUCUUCCAUCUAUCCAUCUGUUCUCCAUCCAUCCAUCCAUCCAUCCAUCCAUCCAUCCAUCUAUUCUCCAUCCAUCCAUCAGUUCAUACG
rnacentral:lncRNA from 1 species